GGACCAUGUUAUUUGUCAUCUGCUUCAGUCCUAUUGCUUUCUAGCUACCAUUUGAUAUUUAGAUAUGAUGUGCUAGCGCUCAAUUUUGUUUCCAAAUUAAAAGGGAAGCAGUUAAGUUUUCUUUUGUGCUAAUAAUUCUGGAUUAACGUCACAAUUCAAAGACAUGGCAGCUGAAGCUGACAUGAACUGAUAUCUGCUUUUACUGUGUACUCCCUGCAGCCUGCUGUCUACUUUGUGGAUGAACAAUUGAAACAAUCGUAUGAGAUUUUGGUGCGCUGUCACAAUUGAGUUGAUGGCUUCCUGUUAAUUGCGUAGACAUUGCAUUUAAUCAUCAAUUGAUCUACCAAACCUGCAAUCAGUGAUUUUUUUGCCCGCAGACAAUGGUUCCGCUGGUCAUUAUGACUUGAGUAGUCGUAUGCUAACUUGGCAGCUUAUUAUUAAUCAUCUUUGUAUUAGGAUGCUUAUUGAUGGUGAGGAAUAAUGCCAGCAGACAAUGGUUCACUGAUUACGCUCACAUACUCUCAAUUAUUAUAUUUACUUGAAACUGAAAUUCACGCUAGAUGUAUCAUCUAAGAGUACAACAUUUCUUUGUUCACUACUGAUGCAGUAGAAUUAUUGCCAAAUUUCUCAUUGACGCAUGCACUCAGUAAACAGUUUGCUUUCAACAGAUUAAUGUAGUUGUGUGAUGAUACACGGAACGUCUGUGCCAUUUGCUUGUAAUUCAUUCCCUUGCAGUAUGUCUGCCUUGCCGAAAAGAUGUUCCUUUGAUGACAACCCUCGGCAGUACAAAUAUCAACUUCAUCAGAUUCCUGAUGUUCCUUUGAUGAAAACCCUCAGCAAAUCAUCAGUAUGAAAGCGGAAGAAUGAAAGACCAGAAUUACAAGCCUGAUAUUAUUGAUACAUAGCAAAGGGGUUUCACCAGUGACUGACUAUCAUGCCGGGGACUGCAUGCAUGCUUGUACAUACAAGUAAGAGUAAGCCUUUAAUAAAUACACAGAGCUUCACACGGUUGUGACUAAU